GUGGAUGAGUGGCGAACGGGUGAGUAAUACGUGAGUAACCUGCCCUUGACUCUGGGAUAAGCCUGGGAAACCGGGUCUAAUACUGGAUACGACGUCCUACCGCAUGGUGGGGCGUGGAAAGGGUUUUACUGGUUUUGGAUGGGCUCACGGCCUAUCAGCUUGUUGGUGGGGUAAUGGCCUACCAAGGCGACGACGGGUAGCCGGCCUGAGAGGGUGACCGGCCACACUGGGACUGAGACACGGCCCAGACUCCUACGGGAGGCAGCAGUGGGGAAUAUUGCACAAUGGGCGGAAGCCUGAUGCAGCGACGCCGCGUGAGGGAUGACGGCCUUCGGGUUGUAAACCUCU
rnacentral:rRNA from 1 species